AACGUAGGAGGCGAGCGUUAUCCGGAUUUAUUGGGCGUAAAGCGCAUGCAGGUGGCUCUGCAAGUCGGGUGUGAAAGCCUCUGGCUUAACUGGAGGAGGUCGCUCGAUACUGCGGAGCUUGAGGUCGGAAGAGGAAAGCGGAAUUCCCGGUGUAGUGGUGGAAUGCGUAGAUAUCGGGAGGAACACCAGUGGCGAAAGCGGCUUUCUGGUCCGCACCUGACACUAAGAUGCGAAAGCGUGGGGAGCGAACGGGAUUAGAUACCCCGGUAGUCCACGCUGUAAACGAUGGGUACUGGGUAUUGGUGGUAUUGACCCCAUCAGUGCCGAAGCUAACGCGUUAAGUACCCCGCCUGGGGACUACGGCCGCAAGGUUAAA
rnacentral:rRNA from 1 species